UCAAACUUGGUCAUUUAGAGGAAGUAAAAGUCGUAACAAGGUCUCCGUUGGUGAACCAGCGGAGGGAUCAUUACCGAGUUUACAACUCCCAAACCCCAAUGUGAACGCUACCAAACCUGUUGCCUCGGCGGGAUCACUGCCCCGGGCGCGUCGCAGCCCCGGACCACGGCGCCCGCCGGAGGGACCAACCCGAAACUCCUGAAUCGAAGCCCCCUCGCGGGCCCUCUCUCUCUCUCUGAGGAAAAACAAACAAAUGAAUCAAAACUUUCAACAACGGAUCUCUUGGUUCUGGCAUCGAUGAAGAACGCAGC
rnacentral:misc_RNA from 1 species